CCCUUAGAUGUUCUGGGCCGCACGCGCGCUACACUGACGGAGUCAACGAGUUGUCCUGCAUCGGAAGGUGUGGGUAAUCUUUUGAAACUUCGUCGUGCUGGGGAUAGAUCUUGCAAUUUUCGAUCUUGAACGAGGAAUUCCUAGUAAGCGUGAUUCAUCAGAUCGCGUUGAUUACGUCCCUGCCCUUUGUACACACCGCCCGUCGCUCCUACCGAUUGAGCAAUCCGGUGAAUACUUUGGACUGGUGACAAGUCUGGUCCUGCCAGCCUCGUCACUGGAAAAUUGAGUGAACCUUAUUGCUUAGAGGAAGGAGAAGUCGUAACA
rnacentral:rRNA from 1 species